rnacentral:rRNA from 1 species
GAUGAACGCUGGCGGCGUGCCUAAUACAUGCAAGUCGAGCGAACGGACGAGAAGCUUGCUUCUCUGAUGUUAGCGGCGGACGGGUGAGUAACACGUGGAUAACCUACCUAUAAGACUGGGAUAACUUCGGGAAACCGUAGCUAAUACCGGAUAAUAUUUUGAACCGCAUGGUUCAAAAGUGAAAGACGGUCUUGCUGUCACUUAUAGAUGGAUCCGCGCUGCAUUAGCUAGUUGGUAAGGUAACGGCUUACCAAGGCAACGAUGCAUAGCCGACCUGAGAGGGUUAUCGGCCACACUGGAACUGAGACACGGUCCAGACUCCUACGGGAGGCAGCAGUAGGGAAUCUUCCGCAAUGGGCGAAAGCCUGACGGAGCAACGCCGCGUGAGUGAUGAAGGUCUUCGGAUCGUAAAACUCUGUUAUUAGGGAAGACCAUAUGUGUAAGUAACUGUGCACAUCUUGACGGUACCUAAUCAGAAAGCCACGGCUAACUACGUG